CUACCCGGGUAUCUAAUCCUGUUUGCUCCCCACGCUUUCGCGCCUCAGCGUCAGUAAUGGGCCAGUGAGUCGCCUUCGCCACUGGUGUUCUUCUGAAUAUCUACGAAUUUCACCUCUACACUCGGAGUUCCACUCACCUCUCCCAUACUCAAGAUGCCCAGUAUCAAAGGCAGUUCCAAGGUUGAGCCCUGGGCUUUCACCUCUAACUUAAGCAUCCGCCUACGCGCCCUUUACGCCCAGUAAUUCCGAGCAACGCUAGCCCCCUUCGUAUUACCGCGGCUGCUGGCAC
rnacentral:rRNA from 1 species